AUUGAACGCUGGCGGCAGGCCUAACACAUGCAAGUCGAACGAGUGGCGGACGGGUGAGUAAUGUCUGGGAAACUGCCUGAUGGAGGGGGAUAACUACUGGAAACGGUAGCUAAUACCUCAUACCAUCGGAUGUGCCCAGAUGGGAUUAGCUAGUAGGUGGGGUAACGGCUCACCUAGGCGACGAUCCCUAGCUGGUCUGAGAGGAUGACCAGUCACACUGGAACUGAGACACGGUCCAGACUCCUACGGGAGGCAGCAGUGGGGAAUAUGGCACAAAGGGCGCAAGCAUGAUUCAGCCAUGGCGCGAGUAUGAGGAAGGCCUACGGGUGGUAAAGUAAUUGGAGAGGGGAGGCGUUACCCGGAGAAGAAGCACCGGCUAACUCCGUGUCAGCAGCCGCGGUAAUAC
rnacentral:rRNA from 1 species